rnacentral:rRNA from 1 species
AGAACGAACGCUGGCGGCAUGCCUAAUACAUGCAAGUCGAACGAACACUUCGGUGUUAGUGGCGCACGGGUGCGUAACGCGUGGGAAUCUGCCCUUGGGUUCGGAAUAACAGUUGGAAACGACUGCUAAUACCGGAUGAUAUCGAAAGAUCAAAGAUUUAUCGCCCAGGGAUGAGCCCGCGUAGGAUUAGCUAGUUGGUGAGGUAAAGGCUCACCAAGGCGACGAUCCUUAGCUGGUCUGAGAGGAUGAUCAGCCACACUGGGACUGAGACACGGCCCAGACUCCUACGGGAGGCAGCAGUGGGGAAUAUUGGACAAUGGGCGAAAGCCUGAUCCAGCCAUGCCGCGUGUGUGAAGAAGGUCUUCGGAUUGUAAAGCUACUUAAGUGGGAG